ACGUAGGAGGCGAGCGUUGUCCGGAAUCAUUGGGUGUAAAGGGAGCGUAGGCGGGCUGUUAAGUCAGUUGUGAAAACCUUCGGCUUAACCGCAAGACUGCAGUUGAAACUGAUUUUCUUGAGUGUGGCAGAGGUAGGCGGAAUUUCGAGUGUAGCGGUGAAAUGCGUAGAUAUUCGGAGGAACACCAGUGGCGAAGGCGGCCUACUGGGCUUUAACUGACGCUGAGGCUCGAAAGUGUGGGGAGCAAACAG
rnacentral:rRNA from 1 species